GAUAGGGUGGCAGAUAGAAGUGUGGCAAAUUGUAAAUUUGUUAAUAGAGGUUAGAUUCCUUUUCUUAUCA
rnacentral:tRNA from 1 species